UGGAUAGCAAAUUGGCUCCAUGGAAGGAAGAAGAGGGUGAUGGUGGAAGGUUGCUUCUCGGACUGGAGGCCUGUGACUAGUGGUGUGCCUGAGGGUUCGGUACUGGGCCCAUUGCAAUUUGUUAA